rnacentral:rRNA from 1 species
GAUGAACGCUGGCUACAGGCUUAACACAUGCAAGUCGAGGGGAAACGACGGGGAAGCUUGCUUCCCCGGGCGUCGACCGGCGCACGGGUGAGUAACGCGUAUCCAACAUGCCUCUGACUGAGGGAUAACCCGUCGAAAGUCGGCCUAAUACCUCAUGGUAUCGUCUGCGGGCAUCCAACGACGAUUAAAGAUUUCAUCGGUCAGGGAUGGGUAUGCGUCUGAUUAGCUUGUUGGCGGGGUAACGGCCCACCAAGGCUACGAUCAGUAGGGGUUCUGAGAGGAAGGUCCCCCACAUUGGAACUGAGACACGGUCCAAACUACUACGGGAGGCAGCAGUGAGGAAUAUUGGGCAAUGGGCGAGAGCCUGAACCAGCCAAGUAGCGUGCAGGAAGACGGCCCUAUGGGUUGUAAACUGCUUUUAUGCGGGGAUAAAGUGAGGGACGUGUCCCUCAUUGCAGGUACCGCAUGAAUAAGGACCGGCUAAUUCCGUG